rnacentral:rRNA from 1 species
AGGACGAACGCUGGCGGCGUGCUUAACACAUGCAAGUCGAACGAUGAUGGCCGUGCUUGCACGGCUGGAUUAGUGGCGAACGGGUGAGUAACACGUGAGUAACCUGCCCUCCACUUCGGGAUAACCUCGGGAAAUCGGGGCUAAUACCGGAUAUGAGCACCUACUGCAUGGUGGGUGUUGGAAAGUUUUUCGGUGGGGGAUGGACUCGCGGCCUAUCAGCUUGUUGGUGAGGUAGUGGCUCACCAAGGCGUUGACGGGUAGCCGGCCUGAGAGGGCGACCGGCCACACUGGGACUGAGACACGGCCCAGACUCCUACGGGAGGCAGCAGUGGGGAAUAUUGCACAAUGGGCGAAAGCCUGAUGCAGCGACGCCGCGUGAGGGAUGACGGCCUUCGGGUUGUAAACCUCUUUCAGCAGGGAAGAAGCGAGAGUGACGGUACCUGCAGAAGAAGCGCCGGCUAACUACGUGCCAGCAGCCGCGGUAAUACGUAGGGCGCAAGCGUUGUCCGGAAUUAUUGGGCGUAAAGAGCUUGUAGGUGGCUUGUCGCGUCUGCCGUGAAAACCCGAGGCUCAACCUCGGGCGUGCGGUGGGUACGGGCAGGCUAGAGUGUGGUAGGGGAGACUGGAACUCCUGGUGUAGCGGUGAAAUGCGCAGAUAUCAGGAAGAACACCGAUGGCGAAGGCAGGUCUCUGGGCCAUUACUGACACUGAGAAGCGAAAGCAUGGGGAGCGAACAGGAUUAGAUACCCUGGUAGUCCAUGCCG